AAGAAGAGCAACAUAAUAUGAAGCUCAAAAUGACUGAAAUGAUGAAUCUACUUAAAGAACACUUGGUUGGUGGUAAAGUGACACCAAGCGAAGGACAGUCUCGCAAUGUACCGCAGUCAAACAAUAUUCAGUCCCCUAAGAGUAUUGCACUAGAAAAAAGACAUAACUUUACAGAAGGGAAGAAUGCUUGCUACUUGCUUGACUGGGCAGAUGCAAU